rnacentral:tRNA from 1 species
GCCAGUGUGGUGAAAUUGGUAUACACGACGGAUUCAAAAUCCGUUGCCGCGAGGCGUGGCGGUUCGAGUCCGCCCACUGGUACCA